UACGAACUGCACAAACGUUGUUCGGAAUUACUGGGCGUAAAGCGCAUGUAGGCGGAUUGUUAAGUGAGGGGUGAAAUCCCAGGGCUCAACCCUGGAACUGCCUCUCAUACUGGCAAUCUCGAGUUCGAGAGAGGUGAGUGGAAUUCCGAGUGUAGAGGUGAAAUUCGUAGAUAUUCGGAGGAACACCAGUGGCGAAGGCGGCUCACUGGCUCGAAACUAACGCUGAGGUGCGAAAGCGUGGGGAGCAAACAGG
rnacentral:misc_RNA from 1 species